CUGGGCUGUGUAUCUCAUGCUAGGGUUUCUUUAGCAUUUUUUAAUUUCUUAUUAUCCCACCUGCAGACCCCUUUGUCUUCACUCUCGCUCCCUAAUUCUGCUUCCUCUUUCUAUCUUUCUCAUGUGCUUCCCCCUGGCCUUCUCGACUUACAGCCUCUGGAGUCAUCUCUGCAUUCGUUUGGCAGAUGUUACUGGCUCACUGGUUCAUCUGUGUUAACCAGCCCAGCUGUGUUGGCCUCUUCUUAUUUUGAUAUGGACUGGACUGCUUACACAAAUAUGUUUGAGUUUUGUUGUUA
rnacentral:lncRNA from 1 species